rnacentral:rRNA from 1 species
UACGUAGGUGGCAAGCGUUGUCCGGAUUUAUUGGGUUUAAAGGGUGCGUAGGCGGUUCUGUAAGUCGGUGGUGAAAUCCGGCAGCUCAACUGUCGAUGUGCCAUUGAUACUGCAGAACUUGAGUACAGACGAGGUAGGCGGAAUUGACGGUGUAGCGGUGAAAUGCUUAGAUAUCGUCAAGAACACCGAUAGCGAAGGCAGCUUACUAGACUGUAACUGACGCUGAUGCACGAAAGUGUGGGGAUCAAACAGG